UACGGGGGGUGCGAGCGUUGUCCGGAAUCAUUGGGCGUAAAGGGUGUGUAGGUGGCGCGCUAAGUCGGGUGUGAAAUUUCGGAGCUUAACUCCGAAACUGCAUUCGAUACUGGCGUGCUUGAGGACUGGAGAGGAGACUGGAAUUUACGGUGUAGCGGUGAAAUGCGUAGAUAUCGUAAGGAAGACCAGUGGCGAAGGCGGGUCUCUGGACAGUUCCUGACGCUGAGGCACGAAGGUCAGGGGGAGCAAACGGGG
rnacentral:rRNA from 1 species